AUUGAACGCUGGCGGCAUGCUUUACACAUGCAAGUCGAACGGUAACAGGCCUUCGGGUGCUGACGAGUGGCGAACGGGGGAGGAAUGCAGCGGAACGUGCCCAGAGGUGGGGGAUAACGCAGCGAAAGCUGGGCUAAUACCGCAUGUGAUCUGAGGAUGAAAGCGGGGGACCACGCAGCAAUGUUUGGCCUCGCGCCUCUGGAGCGGCCGAUGUCAGAUUAGGUAGUUGGCGGGGUAAAGGCCUACCAAGCCGACGAUCCGUAGCUGGUCUGAGAGGACGACCAGCCACACUGGGACUGAGACACGGCCCAGACUCCUACGGGAGGCAGCAGUGGGGAAUUUUAGACAAUGGGCGCAAGCCUGAUCCAGCCAUGCCGCGUGCGUGAAGAAGGCCUUCGGGUUGUAAACCGCUUUUGUUCGGAACGAAAAGGCUCUGGCUAAUACCUGGGGCUGAUGACGGUACCGAAAGAAUAAGCACCGGCUAACUACGUG
rnacentral:rRNA from 1 species